CUAAGUUUAUAACAAUAAAAGGUGAAAUUGGCUUAUUGAGGGGUAAAUGAAGGUUGAAUUAUAAAGAGGGAAGGCCUAAAAGUUAAGAUAUAAACCAGGAUUAGAUACCCUGUUAUACUUAAAAGGAAAAACAAAACUUGAGUACUAAUAGCUAUGGUCUUUAAAUUCAAAGAAUUUGGCGGUAUUUUAGUCUUGUUAGAGGAACCUGUUCUGUAAAUGACACAACACGAAGAAUCUUACUUACUUUUGUUUUACAGCUUGUAUACCGUCAUUAUUAGAUAACCUUUACUGAGAAAGUUAUUGAAAUUUAGGAAGUUAAAAUAUAUUAGAUCAAGGUGCAGUUUAUGGGUAAGAAGAAAUGGGUUACAAUAAAAUUUAUUUAUACGCAUCAAAUGAUUGAAUGAUUUCUGUGAAGGAGGAUUUAAUUGUAACAUAUAAUUUAAUAAGUUAAUGUGAUAUGAGAACUAAAGUAUGUACAUAUCGCCCGUCGCUUCCAUUUAAGGUGAGAUA
rnacentral:rRNA from 1 species